GACGAACCUUGCUAACGUUAUUCGGAAUUACUGGGCUUAAAGGGUGCGUAGGCGGUGCGGAAAGUUGGGUGUGAAAUCCCUCGGCUCAACCGAGGAAUUGCGCCCAAAACUGCCGCACUAGAGGAAGACAGAGGUACGCGGAACUUAGGGUGGAGCGGUGAAAUGCGUUGAUAUCCUAAGGAACACCGGUGGCGAAAGCGGCGUACUGGGUCUUAUCUGACGCUGAGGCACGGAAAGCUAGGGGAGCGAACAGG
rnacentral:rRNA from 1 species